UACGAAGGGAGCUAGCGUUGUUCGGAAUCACUGGGCGUAAAGCGCGCGUAGGCGGCUGUGUCAGUCAGGGGUGAAAUCCCGGAGCUCAACUUCGGAACUGCCUUUGAUACAGCACGUCUUGAGUCCGAUAGAGGUGGGUGGAAUUCCUAGUGUAGAGGUGAAAUUCGUAGAUAUUAGGAAGAACACCGGUGGCGAAGGCGGCCCACUGGAUCGGUACUGACGCUGAGGUGCGAAAGCGUGGGGAGCAAACAGG
rnacentral:rRNA from 1 species